GCCUCCGUAGCUUAAUGGACAAAGCAACGCACUUCUAAUGCGUAGAUUACAGGUUCGAGUCCUGUCGGGGGUACAA
rnacentral:tRNA from 1 species